UCUCAGCAAUAUUUUCAUUAUCUUCGUCUAAAUUAACCGCAUCUACUUCAUUUUCUUCUUCUAUACCGUAAUUUUCCUGAGCUUCUACAUAAUCCAUAUCGUGAGCACCUACACCUAUUUCUUCCUCAAAAGGUGUACCAAGUGGUACCGGAGGCGAAGGCACACAGAUAUAUCUACUACUUGAACUACCUCUACUGCUAGUAAUUCUCUUUUUACUACCACUACCGC
rnacentral:lncRNA from 1 species